rnacentral:rRNA from 1 species
AUUACCUCAGUAACGGCGAGUGAAGCGGUAUAAGCUCAAAUUUGAAAUCUGGCUCUUUCAGGGUCCGAGUUGUAAUUUGUAGAAGAUGUUUCGGGUGUGGUUCCGGUCUAAGUUCCUUGGAACAGGACGUCAUAGAGGGUGAGAAUCCCGUAUGUGACUGGAUACCUUCGCCCAUGUGAAACUCUUUCGACGAGUCGAGUUGUUUGGGAAUGCAGCUCAAAAUGGGUGGUAUAUUUCAUCUAAAGCUAAAUAUUGGCCAGAGACCGAUAGCGCACAAGUAGAGUGAUCGAAAGAUGAAAAGCACUUUGGAAAGAGAGUUAAACAGUACGUGAAAUUGUUGAAAGGGAAGCGCUUGCAAUCAGACUUGCGCCUAGUUGAUCAUCCGGGCUUCUGUCCGGUGCACUCGAUUAGGCUCAGGCCAGCAUCGGUUUGGGUGGUUGGAUAAAGGCCUGAGAAAUGUAGCCUCCUUCGGGUGGUGUUAUAGUCUCAGGUGCAAUGCAGCCUACCUGGACCGAGGACCGCGCUUCGGCUAGGAUGCUGGCGUAAUGGUUGUAAGCGACCCGUCUUGAAACACGGACCAAGGAGUCGACCUAUUUAGCGAGUGUUUGGGUGUUAAACCCAUACGCGUAAUGAAAGUGAACGGAGGUGAGAACCCUUUAGGGCGCAUCAUCGACCGAUCCUGAUGUCUUCGGAUGGAUUUGAGUAAGAGCUAAUUGGGUCGGACCCGAAAGAUGGUGAUCUAUACGUGAAUAGGGUGAAGCCAGAGGAAACUCUGGUGGAGGCUCGCAGCGGUUCUGACGUGCAAAUCGAUCGUCAAAUUUGCGUAUAGGGGCGAAAGACUAAUCGAACCAUCCUUAUUGGCAUAGUUGCUAGGUGGUUAAGAAGAGACUGAAACAUAGUCUCCUAGUCCUCUUGUAGGGCAACAUUGUCAAAUUGUUCGGGAACUACCUGCUAAUUUCUAAGCUACCGCUACCUAUCGAAAGAUAAGGUCUGCACCAGGUUAAUGACCUCGGGUAUGGUAAUAACGCCUAGAUAGGGUACAUCCGCAGCGAAAUCCUAAAGCCUAGGCCAUGGAUAGCGUUCACAGACUAGACGACAAUGGGCUUAUAUUGAUUAUAGGCUUAAGAUAUAGUCGGUACCUUUAGAGAUAAGGGGCAUGAGUAUUCGAAGUUUCUUGAUGCGAUUUGGUGCCAUGUUGGGCAGUCCGUUUUGAAAUUGGGGAUGUCGAGUGCUCAUGC